rnacentral:rRNA from 1 species
CGGAUUGUAGGCUGCAACUCGCCUACAUGAAGUCGGAAUCGCUAGUAAUCGCGGAUCAGCAUGCCGCGGUGAAUACGUUCCCGGGCCUUGUACACACCGCCCGUCACACCAUGAGAGUUUGUAACACCCAAAGCCGGUGGGGUAACCUUUUGGAGCCAGCCGUCUAAGGUGGGACGGAUGAUUGGGGUGAAGUCGUAACAAGGUAAC